rnacentral:rRNA from 1 species
UACGUAGGGUGCAAGCGUUGUCCGGAAUUAUUGGGCGUAAAGAGCUCGUAGGCGGUCUGUCGCGUCUGCUGUGAAAACCUGGGGCUUAACCCCGGGCCUGCAGUGGGUACGGGCAGACUAGAGUGUGGUAGGGGAGACUGGAAUUCCUGGUGUAGCGGUGAAAUGCGCAGAUAUCAGGAGGAACACCGGUGGCGAAGGCGGCCUGCUGGGCAGUAGCUGACGCUGAAGCGCGACAGCGUGGGGAGCAAACAGG